rnacentral:rRNA from 1 species
GAUGAACGCUGGCGGCGUGCCUAAUACAUGCAAGUCGAGCGAACAGACGAGGAGCUUGCUCCUCUGACGUUAGCGGCGGACGGGUGAGUAACACGUGGAUAACCUACCUAUAAGACUGGGAUAACUUCGGGAAACCGGAGCUAAUACCGGAUAAUAUAUUGAACCGCAUGGUUCAAUAGUGAAAGACGGUUUUGCUGUCACUUAUAGAUGGAUCCGCGCCGCAUUAGCUAGUUGGUAAGGUAACGGCUUACCAAGGCAACGAUGCGUAGCCGACCUGAGAGGGUGAUCGGCCACACUGGAACUGAGACACGGUCCAGACUCCUACGGGAGGCAGCAGUAGGGAAUCUUCCGCAAGGGGCGAAAGCCUGACGGAGCAACGCCGCGUGAGUGAUGAAGGUCUUCGGAUCGUAAAACUCUGUUAUUAGGGAAGAACAAAUGUGUAAGUAACUAGGCACGUCUUGACGGUACCUAAUCAGAAAGCCACGGCUAACUACGUG